CCCAAGGUCAACAUUGUAGUGACAGGGAGGAGAGGCAGAUGGACAGUGAUAAAAAAAGAAGGAAAAUACAAGAUAAGUAUGACAGCGACAGUGGCAGUUAUAAUACGCCUAGUGCCAAUGCACAGUCCAGGGAGCAAUCCUAUUGGCUGAGACCUGAUCUGAGGAUAUUGACCAAAGCAUGCUAGAGACAUUAAUCCCAAAAGGAGACAUGGCAUGUGUCAUGAUCGUUGCUGGGGAACUACGUGGACAGUUGGGGUCUGUGGUGAAGAGAGACAAAUCCAAGGCCAACGCUGAUGUCCAACUUCUUAGAGACCGCGACCAGAUUAAAACACUGGACUA